GCUAACUCCUAACUGGCUGGGUCACCAGUGUAGACACAGGUCAGUUUCUCUGUGCUUCACAGCUUGGCUUGGAACAUCAGUGAGACCCUCAGAGGCAGAGCACAUGUCCCAUGACACCCAUGGUGGGGAUGAUAUGCUGGGAACCCUAAGCAAAUGUUCUGCCAAGUGGCCAUGCCAUGUCCCUCUGCUGUGCCCAGUGGCCUCUUCUCCAUCCCCACACACAGGCUGCAGGGUAAGAUCCCAUUCUCAGCACCUGCCCAGAGUCCAGGAGGGCAGGUCUCUAUAUCGGCCAGGAGCAAAGGUCAAACUUUGGGCCCCUUCUCUGGAGCUCACUGACCUCAGACCAAAGAGAAACUACAUUCCCUACAUCAAACAUUCCUUUACAGGUAGUUGGAUGAAAUGCCUGAGUUCAGGGAUAUGUUCAAAAAAGUGUAGUUCUGAGCAGUAUAUGUAAAUAUCUGCUUUAUCAUACAGGCUACAGCCUCUUAAACUUGCAGAUGUCCCCCACUUUUAAAAAUGACGGGUAGGGGCUGAGGUUGUGGCUCAGCGUUAGAGCACUCAUCUAGCACAUGGGAGGCCCUGGGUUCGAUCCACAGCACCACAUAAAAAUGCAUAAAAUAAAAUAAAGGUAUUGUGUCCAACUACAACUAAAAAAUAAAUGUUAAAAAAAGAAUGAAGGGUAAUCAUUAUUCUAGGAGUACCAGAAACCACAGCACUCCUUUUGCUCACCUGUGAAUAGAGGUAGAAAGCUGGCCAGCCAUCUCGCAGAGUAGCCACCAGCUGC
rnacentral:tRNA from 1 species